UCUUGGGAAAUAUUGACUUUUGGGACUUGGUGCAAUGAUAACUUUUUAUCAGCAUGGCGAAAACUAUAACAUAGUGAAAUUUCAGCCAAUUUGACCGAAAACCAUUUUCCAUAGGUUUUGUGCGAGGUCCUUUCACUUGAGUUAUGAUUUGUAUCAAAUUCAUAUGUACUUAAGCCAUAAACAUUUGAUUGUAGUUUAACAAUCUGUUUGGAGGUACAAAAUCAUUUUACAAGAGCACUUCUUUUAAAGAUAAGGUAACUGUUCAAAUUAUGAGUCAUUUAAAGUUAAAAUAACUUUUAUUCAUUUUUAUAUAAAAGAGGUUAUACAAAAUUGGGGGUUUGGGAAUCAUUAUUCAAACGAGAAAAUGUUACAUAUUCUUAUGUAUUUUGAGUCGUAAAAUUUGAAAAUGACUAUGAAAAUUAAGGCAUUAGCGGGAAGAAUGUAGUAAAUUAAGAAAAAUGGGUAAAACGUAAAAUCGUAAAAACUCCCGGACGUAAUUUUUUACGUUUAUUCUUACAUUUUCUUGCGUUUUUUUUCUUGUUAUUUUGAAUUGCAGAAUCUCGAAUCAACUAUCUGGAUGUAUUCAACAUAUGUACAGGGUAUGCAAAAAAACUCGGCGAAAUAUCUUGAGAAAUAUAAUUGUAGAAAAAAAAUGUUUGAGACAAAAAUUGUAGAGCUUAAAAGUAGGAAUGUCCUGAUUGUGCACGGACCCGAUUGCACACCACCAGCCAGUGCUCUACUUUAUUUAGUGAAUUACUAAAUCCAACUAGAUUUAACCAAUCAUUAUAUUUUGUGUCCAAUCGGGCUUUACUCUAUUAAAAAUAUCUACUUACUCUCUUUAUCAGUUUAACUUUCGGUUACGUCGCCAAGAUUAGGCGAAGAUUACCUUGAUUUUUUUAAUUGGGACCCCUUAUUUUUUAUUGCCGAUAUUUAUUCAAUAUAUUUUUGAUAGUAUAUUAAUGAAUAUACAGGACAUAUAUUAUUUUUAUUAUUAUAAUGAUUUAUAAUAAUAAAGCGCGCUUAAUUGCACAUAGGCAUAUGCAAUACGAAUCUUAACUUCAUUGGCUGGAUAUCUUACUAUAAAAACCUCGAUAACAUCGAAAGAACUGACAUGGUGUGAAUAUAAUUAUAGCACUUUGAAAGAGUCUCAAGGACGACUAUAAGAAUACGUAAUAAAAAAUAAGGGACCAUAGCAGGAGGAGAGUGUACUAGGUAGCGACGAGACACCGUGCGUUCGGGACCUACAUAUCUUUUCGUUCUAAAAAGAGAAAAAUAUCAAAAGCGCGGUUUGCUAGGUCGGAACUCGAACCCGGACUCUUUCGCUUGCCAGGCGACUGCUCUAAACCACUGAGCUACCUGACGCUCCACGUUCACGGUACUCUCGCCUCCAUAGAUAACACUUAGAGAUGCCAUUUGGAAGUGACAUCUCCGGCGCGAUCCCGAGCGCACGGCGACUACAGAAAGAAACAUUGUUACUGUACCAAAUGGUACAGCUGUCAGUCUCUCAAAGUAAAAUAUUGCUAUCCUUUAAGAUCCACCCAUGGCUGCUGUCCAUGUAUGCCCGUCUCCACCGUUGCCCCUCUUCAUCCGGUACAACUUAUAGAAAAAGCCUCGGGAUCGACACCAAUUUUUUUGCAGCUCCCUUGGACACAUUUCGCAACGCGCCGAAAGGAAUUCCUAUUAAAAAAAUUCAAAGUGAUCUUCACCUGAUCUUGGCGACGUAACCGAAGGUUAAACUGAUAAAGAGAGUAAAGGUGUUUUUAAGCCCUACAACUUUUGUCUUAAACUUUUUUUUCUACAACUAUAUUUCUCGAGGUAUUUCCGAGCCGGAAUUUUUUGCACACCCUGCACAUAUGUUGAGUAUCUCCAAAUAGUUGACUCGAGAUUCUGCGAUUCAAAAUAACAAAAAAAAUAUAACGCAAGAAAACGUAAGAGUAAACGUAAAAAAAUUACGUAUAAGAGUUUUUCUAAGAUUUCACGUUUUUUCUAAUUUUUCUUAAUUUUCCACAUUUUCUUCGCUAUAGUCCUAAUUUUCAUGGACAUUUUAGAAUUGUACAAUUUAAAAUACAUAAGAAUAUGUAACAUUUUCUCGUUUGAAUAACAGUUCCCAAACCCUCAAUUUUGUUGAUUGAAUACCAAAAGGAACUGUUAAUACGAAACUUUUAAACAGUAAAUAUUAUAGUUUUAAGACAAAAUUAUCAGAGUUUGAAUUAAUAAAUUCUAAAUUUAAAAAUAUUAAUUAAAGAAAUAAUUAAAAACAUUUAUGCAUAAGUCUUAAUUAUUAGUCAGCAAAUUAUUUUGCGCCCCUAUAUAAUGAAUUAUACGAUAUUCAAUUUUAUAUUAAUAAUAUCCAAAUUUACACAUUGUUUCGGCAUAUGUAUAAUAAUGAUAUAUAUAGCACAACAUAUUAACAGUCUCAUAAAUCUGAAGUCAAUAAAGUAAAUGAUAUAUUUUAGAUAUUUUUAUUAAAUCAUGUGAAUAUAUAACUUUAGAACAUAAUUGUAAAAUAACUAAAGAAUUUACAAAAUUAUUUUCUAUUUUAUUAUUAUAAUGUGUACUUUUUCUAUCCAGAUAGCACAGAGAUAAACAGAAGUUCCUAGAGAAUUAAUUUUAAAGAAUACAUACAGAAUUAGAAAAAUGAAUAUCUAAAGAAUUCAUGAAGAAAUAACCACAAUAAGUUUGUCUUGAAGUAUUCCUCAGAAGUUCAUUGUAGCGAAUACUUUGCAACUUAAUUUCUAGAACACUCUGAGAAUUUGUGAGAAAUUACAAGUUUUUUGUUUGUUACAAUUAUUUCUUGUGGCUGCAUGCAGCAGAUACACAUCAUUUUCAGUGCUUUGUGUGUGUAUUGUUAUAACUUGCUUUGCAAAUAAAUGAUAUGAUAAAAAGAAAGGUAAAUUGAAUCAUGAGAAUAUAAUUGAAUUAUGUUUAUAUUUUACAAAGUGCUAUUUUAUAACCUAAAAAUGUGACUAUUUUAAUAUAAUUCUUUCUUUAUUCUAUAUGAUUCUUGUACAAUUUUGGAUUCCUUUCUUUUUUUAUGUAGUGAAAAACUGGAUGUAUUUUAAUUAUUACAGUUAAAAAAGAACUGUUACUUAUCAAACAUUGACAAGCAUUAACGUUACAUCAAUAUUAUGAUUUUCCAGUUAACUGUGUAAGUGGUACAUAUAACAUAUGUUGUACGUAACAGUUAUAUUGUUGAGAAUUAUAUUGAUGUAAUGUUACAACUAAGUUGGUGUUUAUUGACUAUCCUUCAAGCAAACACUAUCAGUAACAUAACAUCAAUGUUAUAAUUUCUUACUUAAGAAUAUAACUAACACGCAUUAUGUUACAUUUAUAUUGAUAAAUAGGAAAUUAUAACAUUGAUAUUAUGUUUAUGUUAGUCAGUGUUUACUGGGUUUGUAUUUUUCUUUCUAUGUAUAAACAUUAUUCUUCUUGAAUUCAUAAAGUAUACAUCUAUGUUUAUAAAGUAUACAUCUAUAUGAAUACUCUAAGGAGUUCUGAGGAACUCCAGUCAUGAUGCAUGUCCUAAAUCAUUCUUAUAGUAUUCUUCUCAAUGAAUUCCUUAUAAUAUUCUUCCACGAAUUCCUAAAGAAGUACAAUUCAAGAAAGGAGAAAACUUUUGGAACACUUAAAGAAUUCAUUGUGCUAUCUGGGUAUAUGUUAAUAAACCAAGUUGGAUUCGAAAUUAAACUCUAUCCAUAAUUGGGACAGUUACCUGAAACAAAUUUGUGCAGCUAAAUAGAAGUUGUGAAUCUUCUUUAUCAUUUUUUAGUCUUAAAUCCAUCGUUGCAGUGGUUUCAUAUGUUGUAAAAUAUACUGUUUACACAGUUGCUGAUGGAUAUAUUCAUCAGAAAAUGUUACAUAUAAAUAAAAAUAGCCUGCAUUAAUA